CACGUAGUUAGCCGGAGCUUCCUCCUAAGGUACCGUCAUUAUCGUCCCUUAAGACAGAGGUUUACAAUCCGAAAACCUUCGUCCCUCACGCGGCAUCGCUGCAUCAGAGUUUCCUCCAUUGUGCAAUAUUCCCCACUGCUGCCUCCCGUAGGAGUCUGGGCCGUGUCUCAGUCCCAAUGUGGCCGUUCUACCUCUCAGUACGGCUACUGAUCGUCGCCUUGGUGAGCCGUUACCUCACCAACAAGCUAAUCAGACGCGAGCCCAUCUUUAAGCGAUAAAUCUUUGAUACACAAACCAUGCGGUUCGUGUAUGUUAUGCGGUAUUAGCGGUCGUUUCCGACCGUUAUCCCACUCUUAAAGGCAGGUUGCUCACGUGUUACUCACCCGUCCGCCACUAACUUAAGAGAGCAAGCCCUCUCAAGUCCGUUGACUUUGCAUGUGUUAAGCGUGCCGCCAGCGUUGUCCUGAGCCAGGACUCAAACUCU
rnacentral:rRNA from 1 species